rnacentral:rRNA from 1 species
CCUACGGGAGGCAGCAGUGGGGAAUAUUGCACAAUGGGCGCAAGCCUGAUGCAGCCAUGCCGCGUGUAUGAAGAAGGCCUUCGGGUUGUAAAGUACUUUCAGCGGGGAGGAAGGGAGUAAAGUUAAUACCUUUGCUCAUUGACGUUACCCGCAGAAGAAGCACCGGCUAGCUCCGUGCCAGCAGCCGCGGUAAU